rnacentral:rRNA from 1 species
GACGAACGCUGGCGGCGGGCCUAAUACAUGCAAGUAGAACGCAGCAGGAGGAGCUUGCUUCUCUGGAUGAGUUGCGAACGGGUGAGUAACGCGUAGGUAACCUGCCUGGUAGCGGAGGAUAACUAUUGGAAACGAUAGCUAAUACCGCAUAAGAGUAGAUGUCGCAUGACAUUCGCUUAAAAGGUGCAAUUGCAUCACUACCAGAUGGACCUGCGUUGUGUUAGCUAGUUGGUGAGGUAACGGCUCACCAAGGCAACGAUACAUAGCGGACCUGAGAGGGUAAUAGGCGACGCUGGGACGGGGGCACGGCCCAGAACACUACGGGAGGCAGCAGUAGCGAAUCUUCGGCAAUGGAAGGAAGUGGGACCGAGCAACGCUGCGUGAGUGAAGAACGUUGUCGGAUCGUAAAGAUCAGUUGUAAGUGAAGAACGAGUGUGAGUGUGGAAAGUUCACACUGUGACGGUAUCUUAACAGAAAGGCACGGCUAACUACGUG